rnacentral:tRNA from 1 species
GGUCCUAUGGAGCAGUUUGGAGUGCUCGCCUGCCCGUCACGCAGGAGGUCAGGGGUUCAAAUCCCCUUAGGAUCG